AGCCCAUCUACGUGGCCAUCAAGGGCCGGGUCUUCGACGUCACCGCCGGCAAGUCCUUCUACGGCCCCGGCGGGGCCUACGCCGCGUUCUCCGGCAAGGACGCCAGCCGGGCCCUCGCCAAGAUGAGCAAGAACGACGAGGACGUCUCCGCUUCCCUCGACGGCCUCUCCGACAAGGAGAUGGGCGUCCUCGACGACUGGGAGAAGAAGUUCGAGGCCAAGUACCCGGUUGUCGGCCGCGUCGUCGCCUCCUCUUGAAAGGCCCUUGAAAAUCUCUACUCGAUAUUAGAUGCUGAUGCUCGUUAUGUAUACUUAGUCUCUCUGUCUUGUCUUGUUGUU
rnacentral:lncRNA from 1 species